rnacentral:rRNA from 1 species
CUACGGGCGGCUCCAGUGGGGAAUAUUGCGCAAUGGGGGAAACCCUGACGCAGUGACGCCGUGUGAGUGAUGAAGGUUUUCGGAUCGUAAAGCUCUGUCAGACGGGAAGAAUAAGAACAGUAAAAAUAUUGCUGUUUGAUGACGGUACCGUCAGAGGAAGCACCGGCUAACUCCGUGCCAGCAGCCGCGGUAAUACGGGGGGUGCAAACGUUGUUCGGAAUUACUGGGCGUAAAGCGCAUGUAGGCGGAUAUGUAGGUCAGAUGUGAAAUCCCUUGGCUCAACCAAGGAAGUGCAUCUGAAACCCCAUAUCUUGAGUACGAGAGAGGGAAGUGGAAUUCCCAGUGUAGAGGUGAAAUUCAUAGAUAUUGGGAAGAACACCGGUGGCGAAGGCGGCUUUCUGGCUCGUAACUGACGCUGAGAUGCGAAAGCGUGGGGAGCAAACAGGAUUAGAUACCCCCGUAGUC